rnacentral:rRNA from 1 species
AGGACGAACGCUGGCGGCGUGCUUAACACAUGCAGGUCGAGCGGAAAGGCCCUUCGGGGUACUCGAGCGGCGAACGGGUGAGUAACACGUGAGCAACCUGCCCUUAGCUCCGGGAUAGCUCCGGGAAACCGGAAUUAAUACCGGAUACGACCACGGCCGACAUCUGCUGUGGUGGAAAGGAUUCCGGCUAAGGAUGGGCUCGCGGCCUAUCAGCUAGUUGGUGGAGUAACGGCCCACCAAGGCGACGACGGGUAGCCGGCCUGAGAGGGCGACCGGCCACACUGGGACUGAGACACGGCCCAGACUCCUACGGGAGGCAGCAGUGGGGAAUAUUGCGCAAUGGGCGAAAGCCUGACGCAGCGACGCCGCGUGGGGGAUGAAGGCCUUCGGGUUGUAAACCCUUUCAGCAGGGACGAAGCGAAAGUGACGGUACCUGCAGAAGAAGCGCCGGCUAACUACGUGCCAGCAGCCGC